UACGUAGGGUGCAAGCGUUGUCCGGAAUUAUUGGGCGUAAAGAGCUCGUAGGCGGUUUGUCGCGUCUGCUGUGAAAACUCGGGGCUCAACUCCGAGCUUGCAGUGGGUACGGGCAGACUAGAGUGCGGUAGGGGAGACUGGAAUUCCUGGUGUAGCGGUGGAAUGCGCAGAUAUCAGGAGGAACACCAAUGGCGAAGGCAGAUCUCUGGGCCGUAACUGACGCUGAGGAGCGAAAGCCAGGGGAGCAAACGGG
rnacentral:rRNA from 1 species